UGGGGAAUCUUCCACAAUGGACGAAAGUCUGAUGGAGCGACGUCGCGUGAUGGACGAAGUGCUUCGGCACGUAAACAUCUUUUAUGUGGGAUGAAAUUAUUGACAGUACCACAUGAAUAAGGGGCUCCUAACUCUGUGCCAGCAGGAGCGGUAAUACAGAGGCCCCAAGCGUUAUCCGGAAUCACUGGGCGUAAAGGGUGUCGAGGCGGUUGUAUUAGUCGUUCGUAAAAUCUACGAGCUUAACUUGUAGGCGGCGAACGAAACGGUACGACUUGAGGUUUGGAGAGGUGCGUGGAACUCACGGUGUAGGGGUGAAAUCCGUUGAUAUCGUGGGGAACACCAAAGGCGAAGGCAGCGCACUGGCCAAAAUCUGACGCUCACACACGAAAGCUAGGGUAGCGAAGAGGAUUAGAUACCCUUGUAGUCCCUGAGCGGGCUGGCAAGGCGCAU
rnacentral:rRNA from 1 species